ensembl:snoRNA SNORA74 Small nucleolar RNA SNORA74
CUCAGCCGUAGGCAACUGCCUAGGUGGCCUUGAACCUAGGAAGUGUUAACACUGUUGGGACAAAAGCAGUCAGUAGCUGUCAGGCAUU